UUCAGGCAUUCAGGGCUUGAAAGGAACGGCUUAAGGAGCCUGACAGAGGCCCGGGAGCUCCUCCUACUCUUAAGGAGGCUCGGAUGUGGAGCCCUUGCCCGCGCACGGAACCAGCGGGCCGGGCUCAGGGGCAGCUGUUUGCAUCCGGCUUGGCCACGGUCCUUUUUGUUUGGUUCUUCUUUUUUUUCCUUUCUUCUUCUUCUGUUUUAUUUAUUUAUUUGGUACUUUUAUUAAUUCUGCCUGGCCCUCAUCUGUGCUUUCGACUGAAUUCAAAAUUCAGUUUGUUUUCCGAGUUCCCCAUCUUUGCCGGAUCAUCACGGCGGGGAGGAGAGAACCCAGAGAAUUUAAUGUGGAACUCUGAAACUUAAAAAAAAAAAAAAAAAAAAUCCAGACACACACAAGAAAGAGGCAAAUGCUUUAGCUAGGGGGAUAUCAAUAUUCACCACCCUUUUCAGCCCCCACUCAGCACCCUGGUUCCCAUUUACCGAUCUGGCAGGUAUGGCCCUGGAGCCAGGCAUUGUUGUCAUUUUCAAGACAGAAAUCCAAUAAGUCAAAUUAAUUUUUUUUUUAAGAAGGAAAGUUUCUAACGGACGGUGAUGAAAAAAAACAAUACAUUAAAAAUAUUUAGGGCUGUUGCGCAGUACCUUCUGGCCGCAGUCAGAACAUAAGAGGAAGGGGAUAGCUUGGCAUCCUCCAAGGUUUCUAUUCAAGCGUAUGUUUCAGUCUCCCUCGGUUUAAGGGAAACCGCCGCCUACAGCAGCCUCUCCGAUCCAGGCGCGGGAGUUUGCAAACUACCUUAACUGCAGCGCAACGCAGCCUUCGACCACCAGAGGCACCGGGCGUCUGCAGCCUGUCAAAAACUGGCGCUUUUUUCCUCCCCUUUCCGUGGAGAGACUAUCAACUCCAUCUGUCACAAAACUUCAAGCUAAAUCUCCUCUGGUGAAGCCGAGGCAGCCGGGGCUCCAGUACACACAGCGUUCGGCUGUCCACCUCUCCCCAGGGUCCCGGGGCUGUUGACUUUAUGGAUCAGAAUCACCAUCAUGAGUGUGGGAAGCAUGAUCUCAAGUUUCAGGCAAGUGAAUUCAAUAUAUGCCUUUCCCCAGGGCGAGAGGCUCACAAAGCAGAAGGAAUGUCAUUUUUCAGCCGACAGAAAUAUAGCUUUUUGUCUGCAAUAGUCACUUGAAACAGGAAGUACUCUUCAGAGGUUGUUGCUCUUGACCAAGACUAUGGAUGAAAUGGAUACAAGGCUAUACCCUGAGUACUUCCUUGGGGAAGAAACAACAUGGGGAGCAGCUUUCCUGAUCUUUGGAGGUUUUUGUCUGCAGGCGUGAAGGCACCGUUUGCCUAUUUUGGUAGAGCCUGCCUCCUGACUUCCUAACCAUUAUCUACCCAGGUGACUAUAUUCUCUGCCAAGAAGUUCCUACCAUUUGAUUUUCUAUCUGUGGAGUGAAUAUUGAAGAGGUACAAUAAGACAGCUAUUCACAUAGGAGGGGCUUUCAGAAGACUUCUAGCUUGGGCGGAUACAAAACUGUAGAAGACAACAGUCAAGACAAGGGUAAAGUGAGCUGGCGAAAACCUAAAGGCAAUGGACUGCUGCUGCUAAGUCGCUUCAGUCGUAUCCGACUCUGUGGGAUUUUCCAGGCAAGAGUACUGGAGUGGAUUGCCAUUGCCUUCUCCAAAAGACAACAUGAAUUAGGAGUUAAAGCCUCAGAGAUCAAAAUGGCUUUCCCAGUGAAAAAUUCAUUUAUCUUGACCUAAGACAGGAAAUGAGGAGGAGAAAGAAGCCACCAAGCAGAAGAAAACUUAAACAUUUGAAGAGAGAAAGUCAAUAUGCUCCAGAUGCCUAUAGUGGAGACAUUUUGGGAAAAGUUCCAGAAGUUUGAUGGAGCUAGUGUGUUAUCAGUGGAAUUGUGCCCUUCCUGCAGAGCCCUCUGGAGGACCAAUAAACCUCAUUGCAGGUCACCAUGCUGGUUGGAUUCUCAUGAAGAGGGAAAGGGAAUGGGUAGAGCCAUGGAGGAGGAGUGAUGCCUCCAGGAAUAAUUUUCAAGAACAUUUUAUGAUAGUGGGAUAAACAUAUUCAGUGGUGACCAAAGAUAGAGAGCAAUUAACACUAAGAAGAAGGAUUCAUAAAUUUAGAGUAGAAAAACCUGAUUUGGAAUUCCCAACUUUGCUCCCAACUAUUUUAAAAGGUCCCUCCUGAUGCCGUCUAUCCGUAUUGUGAAAACUCAAGUUGUCUGCAAAGUUACUAAUGCCUCACAUACCACAGUGCUGUGCUCUCUAACUCCCAGGAUAAUUAUUCCUCUCAAAGCAAGGAAGUCACUGAUAAAAAUACAGUUAACUUUACUGGACAGCAAAUUUGCAUUUAUUCCUUCUGGGAGAAUUAGUCUGAGGCAGCAUAACUUGAAGGAUCUCUAUAAAGAGUAAAUAUAGAUUGAGACUUGGCUCUUGUUUUCCUCAAUAAUCUAGAAAGAUGAUGGGCCGUAAGUGUCCUGCAAAUAUCCUUUCUCUUCCUAGAACCUACGAAAUCACUCUCCCUACCUCAGGCCAUCUGGUGUUUGCAUUACACUUUCAUGUGGUUUUUCGCUCACAAGACCAAGUCUUCACCCACCCUCUCUCAUGUCAGGAAUUUGAUCCCAGCAAGGCUUUGUCCAGCACUUCCGCUCCUCCUUUCACAUGUUUCUUGAAGCACCAUGAUUUCCCUGAAUAAUAAAAGCUUUUUUCCUCCUUAUUGUUUUUCUUCUACAGAACCUCCAGAUAUGAAAUCAAAUGUUGUACAUAAACUGUGUUCCUACCCUACUUGUGUAUUUAUUAUUUAUUCAUAGGUAUUGGUUGUUUGCAUGCAUGGCUUAGAUGUUCUCUGUAGAAAUAUUCUCUUGUGUGUCAAUAAUGCCCAUGUUCAGUUGUAACCUAUUUAAAGGUAGAAAGUAUACUCUUUAGCAAGUAGUUUUCAAAAUGAAUCUCUCUCUCUAUAUAUAUAUAUAUUUUUUUUUUUUGUAUAUAUUUCAAAACACUCAAGUUUUUUGUUCAGUGGUUUUUGUAAGUGUAAUUUGUUGAUGUUCAAAAUGGUUUUCUGCUCAGAGUGCACAAUCACAGAGUAGAGACACUAUACCAUCAUGAAUGACCCACAGCUAAACUGCAUUUGAUAACGAACCAUUGGUGCUGACAAUGAUGUUCACUCAUUGCUUGCCUUUUUGGUUCUUUUAAAAAUGGCCUUCAAUUAUAAUAUGAUCUUUGAUACUGUUUUUAAUAAGUGAAAAACAAUUUAUAGUAACUGGCUUUCAGCAAUUUGGGGUGAAUCAUUUCAGAUAAAUCAAGACAGCAGAAGAGUUGAAUUGUCUCUAUAGUUCUCUGAAAACUAGGAGUCAAUGAUAUUUACAAGGCAAGUGGGGAAGCCAUCCUCCUUUAUUUCCAGUGUUAUAAUAUCUCACUGCAUGGUCAGAUUUUUAGGGAUGUGGUGGGGCAGCCCUCUGUUACUCCCACUAGAGGGUUCCACUGAUAAGCUGUUUGGAGCAAACAAGACCGUUUUUAGAUUGGAUGUUUGAGACUGAGCCCAGUAGCAGAGUUGUAGUCCUGGAUGAGACAGACCAGUAGGAGGAGACACAGUGUGUAGCUGAUAUUUGCCUCUUCCUGACCAAAUGCUGCUGCAUAUGAAUGGGCCUCUAAAGAAACACAGUGUAUCUCUUGGGGUGGGGGUGGGGAUGUGGGUGUCAAUAGAAAGAUUGACAUGACUUUAGGGGACUCCAGGCUGCAAUUGCAUGGCCUGAGCAAUACCAGUGAAGGAGGCUUCCUUUGCUUCUGAGCUCUCCUCCAGAGAAGCUUCCACCAGAAUGGCAGUGACCAUGGUAGAGAGAUUCAUGUUUCCUUUGGUGGUGGAUGGUCUAGACCAUCAGACACACUUACCUGAUUGAGGCCCCCGCUUCUCUCCCUGCAGGGUCUCUGCAUUGCACUGGCCUGGCUCCAGACUUCCUGAAUCUGGCUACAACAAAAGCAACAGUCCCCCAAAAGGAGCCUUUUAGUCAAUGGUUUAAAUUCCUGGUUUUCUGUCCCUCAAGGGACAAUGAAAGGGGCCUGACCUCUUGGUCACCUCAAGAAGGUUUGGAGUUCUCUGGAAAGAGGAGAAAGACAACCUCUUAACAGUUUGAUUGGAUAGCUGGAGUCACUACACAGGCACAGAAAAAAGGCUGAAGAGAAAUAAGGUAGAAAAUUUAACUAUAUGGUGAAAUUUCAGGUGAUCUCCUUUUACUCUUAGCAAAAUUCUCUACAAUAAGCAUGUGUUUUAAAAACCACUAAAAAUAAUGUUAAAAUAUGUACCCAAAACCUGAACACAGUAAAAUACUUUAAGUAUGUGCUUAUGUACAAAAAUCCCAAACAAAUCAAGGUUGUCAGAAAUCACAAAAGAUAAUUUAAUUCAAAUUAAAGAUGUGAGCUAUUAUCAUUUUCAGAUAUUUACAGAAUAGACUAGCAGGACUGAACUUUUUGUGGAUGAGACAUGAUAACUUUGUUUCCUGCUGUGUCAAUUGUUUCUCUGUCUUUAACCAAGAUUAUAUUUCCAGAAUAUCUACUUCUCCAUUUCUCCUGCCUUUUAUUUUUCCAUGGUUGCAAUCUCCUGUAAUUAUGGGAAAAAGUCUUUCCUGGAGCAGCAGCUCUGAGAUUAGCUAGUUUGGAGCCAACCUGAGUAUUCCCAAUUGGUGCUCAUUAUCUUCUUUGUAAGAACACAGUUUUCAGGACAGAGUUAGCUCUGCUCUGAGACUUAAAACAGCUGGAAAAUGCAUGACUUGACAUGCAUUAGAUCUGACAGCAUGUGAAUCCACUGUUCAAAAGUACUUAAUACCUAUUUAAUUUUCUUUUUGGGGGCAUUUUAUUUUCUUGUCCUUAAAUAAUCACCACAGUAAUCAAAAGCAUUUAUGAAUUACUGAAGUGGAACUCAAAAUACUUAAGAGCCGAUUGAUUGCUUGGAUAAACAAAUGCCAAAGUUCAGGAGAAGGUCAGAAAGUUGAGUGUUGUCUUUUAUUUUGAAGAGCUCAGUCUUUAAAUUGCACACAUUUGUCCUUGAACUGUCUGAAUUCAUCUUGAAAGGGCCGAAAUGAUCCCCAAAUUAAGUCCUCUUGUACCUUGUUGAUAUACAUUUAUUUAAGAAAACAUGAGACCCCCAUUUUGUUAAUUUUUAAACACUAAUCUAUGCCUCAAGAUUUAAUAAACAGUCUUUGUUAAUGACCAUUUUAGUCAGUUAUUCAUUCAUUCAUUCUAACCUUUCUGGAUUACAUCAGAAAAUAAAACAAACAAAAAUGUCACUAUGGAGCUUAAAUUCUAGUCAGUGCAGAAUAAACAUAAUACAUAAGUAAAAUAUAUGGUAUGAUAGGUUCUAUGGAAAAAAACAGAAUAGCACAGGGGAGACGAGGAGAAAAUAGACAGCAACUUG